GAUGAACGCUGGCGGCGUGCCUAAUACAUGCAAGUCGAGCGAACAGACGAGGAGCUUGCUCCUCUGACGUUAGCGGCGGACGGGUGAGUAACACGUGGAUAACCUACCUAUAAGACUGGGAUAACUUCGGGAAACCGGAGCUAAUACCGGAUAAUAUAUUGAACCGCAUGGUUCAAUAGUGAAAGACGGUUUUGCUGUCACUUAUAGAUGGAUCCGCGCCGCAUUAGCUAGUUGGUAAGGUAACGGCUUACCAAGGCGACGAUGCGUAGCCGACCUGAGAGGGUGAUCGGCCACACUGGAACUGAGACACGGUCCAGACUCCUACGGGAGGCAGUAGUAGGGAAUCUUCCGCAAUGGGCGAAAGCCUGACGGAGCAACGCCGCGUGAGUGAUGAAGGUCUUCGGAUCGUAAAACUCUGUUACUAGGGAAGAACAAAUGUGUAAGUAACUAUGCACGUCUUGACGGUACCUAAUCAGAAAGCCACGGCUAACUACGUG
rnacentral:rRNA from 1 species